GGAGCUUGCUGGAGCACGACGGGAUUGGUGGAGUACCGAUCUCCUUCGAUCGAGGGGUUGCGGUUCGGUGGAUUCAACGAUCGAUCGUCGGCGAUACGGCAACUAGGGCACGGCGGGGGGUUGAUUCGUGUUGUCUCCUAGCCAAUCGACCUUCCCUUUCCUUUCCUCGCACUGCUCACAGUGCGAUCCAUCUCUUCCUUGGCCGGAUCUGGAUCGAGCCGUGCCACCCGAUCACCGGCGUGGAAGGGGCGAUUAGGGCUUCAAUGGGUCUCGGUGGAAGAUGAUGGGAUCCUUUGAGCUGUCGGCAGAGGCUAGGAGAGUUCUUGCUUGAUUGGUGAUCCCCACCGCUUGACCUCCUGCUUGAUCAGAUUGAUAGCAGCAAGGUGAGGUCUUGUUCUGUUCUUGCUGUGGAGUUGUUCUUGGUUCCGGCAACACUUCAACCAGUAGCUUCUCUGGUUCCAGCAAUCAACAGCAAUUGGAUCGAGGACUCUGAUUCGAGACGAGCAUCUCGAUAUUGGAUCAGGACCGGAUUGUACCUUCUAUUU